CUCCCCCCACUCCACCCCCCCCCUCCCCGCCCGUCAAGCCUUUGGCAUCAUUAUCCUCAUCACUAAAUCCUACAGAGUACAGGGCGGAAAACGGUGCACAC
rfam:Pongo abelii chromosome 2b.